CCGCGCCUCGCCCAGGACAGUUACACUUAGAGGCCUUCAAAAGAGGGAGAAUGCCCUCCCCAUAAGAACCCAUGCAAAGAGCUGUGCCAGGGUGAUGAAUUGUGUCCGGCUGAACAGAAGUGCUGCACCACAGGCUGUGGUCGGAUCUGCCGAGACAUUCCUAAGGACUAGAAUGCAGUGGCGUGAUCUCGGCUCACCGCAACCUCUGCCUCCCGGGUUCAAGUGAUUCUCC
rnacentral:lncRNA from 10 species